UUGGAACAAAAAAAGGCUAUACAUUGCUGCAAUCCAACAAGGAAAAGAAAAUAACAAAUAUGUAUAACAAAAUAUAAUAUAUUCAAGAACUCCUCCUCCUCCUCAUGCGCCACGAUGAUUCCUCUAUAGGGAUAAUUCAUCUAGAUACAAUGAAAAAUUCCAAAAAAGAAAAACACCAACUGAGAAAAAUACCCUAAUAUCGAUAUGAUUGUAUAAAUAUUUUUACAUCGCCAGUACCUAGAACUUAAACUGUUUCUCAAUUGGUUUAAAAUCACCAAAGCCAAAGGUUGGUGUCCUCUUGCCUUAUGUAUCCCUUUAUCCAAAGAACUAGCCACACCAACGCAAAUAAUUCCUUGAUAC
rnacentral:lncRNA from 1 species